ACUGGGAUCCACUGUGGGAUACUGGGAUCCACUGGGGGAUGCUGGGAUCCACUGUGGGAUACUGGGAUCCACUGGGGGAUGCUGGGAUCCACUGUGGGAUACUGGGAUCCACUGGGGGAUGCUGGGAUCCACUGGGGAAACUGGGAUUCACAGGGGGAUACUGGGGUCUACUGCGGGAUACUGGGAUCAAGUGCGGGAUACUGGGAUCAAGUGUGGGAUACUGGGAUCCACUGGGGCCCACGGGGGGAUAAUGGGAUCGACUGGGGGAAACUGGGAUCCACUUGCAACUGAGAGGAGCCGCGGGGAUCUGCUGGGGGAUACUGGGAUCUGUGAGGAGUUGAUCGGAUCUCCUGGGAUCCACUGGGAGAAGCUGGGAGAUACUGAGAGAUACAGGAUCAGCUGGGAGAAUCUGGGAUCCACUGGGGGCUACUGGGAUCUGCUGGGAUCUGAGAGGAGCUCUCAGGAUCCACUGGGGCCCACUGGAGGCACUGGGAUCUGUCAGGAGCUGUUGGGACCCACUGGGAUCCGCUGGGGGAUACUGGGAUCUGCUGGGAUCUGAGAGAAGCUCUUGGGAUCCGCUGGGGGACACUGGGAUCCACUGGGAGAAACGGUGUUCCACAAGGAGAUAGUGGGAUCAACGGCAAUCUGAGAGGAGCUGCUGGGAUCUGCUAGGAUCCACUGGGGGAGACAGAAAUCCACUGGGAUCUGAGAGGAGCUCUUGGGAUCGGCUGGAAUCCACUGGGAGAAGCUGGGAUCUGCUGGGGGAUAGUGGGAUCCAUUGGACAAUACUGGGAUCCACUGGGAUCUGAGAGAAGCUCUUGCGAUCUGCUGGGAUCCACGGGGAGAAGCUGGGAUCCACUGGGAUAUGAGAUGAGAUCUUGGGAUCUGUUUGGAUCCACUUGGGGAUGCUGGGAUCCACUGGGAGAUGCAGGGACCCACUGGCAUCAGAUGGGAUGUGAUAGGAACUGUUGGGAUCUGCUGGGCUCCACUGGGAGAAGCUGGGAUCCACUGGGUGAUACUGGGAAUACAAUGGGAAUAAAUGCCGUAUAAUUUAUAUAUAUUAUAUUAUAUUAUAUUAUAUUAUAUUAUAUUAUAUUAUAUUAUAUUAUAUUAUAUUAUAAUAUUGCAAUACAUUAUAUAUAAUAUAUAAUUAUAUAUUAUACAAUAUAUAACAUAUAUAUUAUAUAUUAUGUAAGAUAAUAUAUAAUAUACAAUAUAUAAUACAUAAUAUUUGUAAUAUAUAUAACAUUAUUUAAUAUAUCUAUUCUGUUCUAUUCUAUAUAAGGGAAUAUAUAAUAUAUAAUAUAUAAUAAUAUUAUCUAAUAUAUAAUAUUUUCUAAUAUAUAAUAUUAGAAAAUACCUAUAAUAUAUAUUAUAUAUUAUAUAUUAUAUAUUAUACAUUAUAUAUGGGAAUAUAUUCUAUAUAAGGGAAUAUAAACCAGGCUGGGACAAAAAUGGAUGCAUUUAAUAAUGAGAUUUCUGAAUUUCUCACCUGCUGACCCCAAAGCUUUGUGCCAAGCCAAUAUUUACUCCUGCUCUGCAAACUCAGGGAGUUUGGGGUGCUGUGGAUGUGAUCACCAAGCCUUGCUGACAGCUCCAUUUAUCACAGAGCAGCUUUUGGAGUUUGGGCUGGGCAGAAUUUCCCCCCCUCCUCAUUGGUUGUGUUUUAUUCCCGGUGAAAAAUCUCCGUGGAAAUUCCCAGCGACAGCAAAAUUCCCUUUGCAUUCCUGGUGCACACUCAGGCAGCCAAGCAAGGCUGUAAAUAAUUGAGAACCCAUCAUUUUCCCUUUGCAGUCCUCACCAGAACCAGCCUGCUUCGCCCUCAACAGCAAAUAUUUAGUGAGACUGAGACAUCCCAGAUAAAGCCCUUAUCUGCCUUCUCUGCAAUCAAUGAGAUGCUCCAGCCUGGCUCAGCAGGGCAGCAACAGCUUUAUCACAGCAGCCACACCUGGGGAAUUUGUCUAAAUUCCCAAAAUCCCAGGCCCAGAGGUGCCUGGGUGUGUCCCUGGCAGGCUGUGGCUCCAGGGAGCCUGAGGUGCCUCCAUGGGGAAUUCAUCAAAAAAGGCCUUGCUGCAACCAAAAUAUUUGGAUCUGUUCCCACCGGCUCCUCCCAAAAUCGGGAUUUUUGAAGGAUGUGAUGCAGAUGAUGCUCAAGUUUUGAGUCUCAGACACCAAUCCCCGACCUGAAGUGGAUUUUGCAGCCUUGUGCUUGCAUCUCCAGCAGUAAAUUUGGGAUUGUCAGCUAUUCCUUGGCACAGGGACUGCAUCAUUUGGACAUUUCUUAGCCCUUUUUUAUGCCAUGAAUCCACCUCCCAAAGCAUUUCCAGGGACCAUCCCCAAGGGGCUCCUGCUGGGGACACCCUGCUCUGCAGGAUCUGAGCCACCAGAGCUCAAACUCCACUCCUGAGAGGGCCCAGGGGUGUUUAAAAAUCAGAUGUGGGAUGUUUAAAAAUGAGACGUGGUGAUAUCUGGAUUCCCUGUCAGGAUUGGGACAAUUCCAGAGCCUCCUGAGGUGCAGGAGCUCAGCUGAGCCCUCAUCACCAGUGAUGGGAGAGUCAUCCUCCCAUAUUAAACAACUGCAAAGUUGUCUCCAGUGAAAUCAUCAGGUUUUGGUGCUGUUAGACCCACUGGUGAGGAGUGGGAGUGGAUCCCAUACAGGGAAGUGCCCCUUGCUCUCCACCAGACCCUGAUCCCUGAACUAAAAAAAAAACUAUUUAAAAAAUAUUAAACUAGCAAAAAAUUUUAAAAUUUA